UGCAACUGGGCCUAACUGAAUUGUGAAGCUAUAUUUUCUGUGCUUCGGGUUUGAGCGUUAAAGACAGUCUUCCUUUGUCAGCCAUCUUGUGUAAACUGGCGCACGAGAAGGAACAGCGUGACAAUAGCGCGUCCUGGAAGAGUAAGAACUAAUCUCCAUGAUCUACUGUCUUCUGAAUUUGUUGUGGGCCCUUCCAUUCGGGAUCAGUGGGAGACAUACGGUAACAGAAGGACAGGUUUCCCUCGUCGCACUGC